GCCAGGUGUGGUGGCUCACACCUGUAAUCCUAGGACUUUGGGAGGCUGAGGCAGGUGGAUCACUUGAGGUCAGGAGUUCAAGACCAGCCUGACCAACAUGGUGAAACCCUGUCUCUA
ensembl:misc_RNA Metazoa_SRP Metazoan signal recognition particle RNA